UUGAUACCGAGCCGCUUCAGGCGAAGUCAUUAAUCCUAUGCUGCCUAGAAAAGCCCAGUAGCGAGUUGACAUGGUGCCCGUACCCCAAACCAACACAGGUGGACAGGUAGAGCAUACCAAGGCGAGUGGGAUAACUAUGGUUAAGGAACUCGGCAAAUUUCCUCCGUAACUUCGGGAUAAGGAGGACCCCAGUAGCGUGACGAGACUUGCUCUCCGAGCGUGAAGGGGUGGCACAAAAUUGAGGGAAGCGACUGUUUACCAAAAACACAGCAGCGUGCUAAGCCGUAAGGCGCUGUAUACGCUGUGACUCCUGCCCGGUGCUGGAAGGUUACGGGGAUGGGUUAGUCCUUUGGGACGAAGCUCUGAACCUAAGCCCCAGUAAACGGCGGCCGUAACUAUAACGGUCCUAAGGUAGCGAAAUUCCUUGUCGGGUAAGUUCCGACCUGCACGAAUGGAGUAACGACUUCCCUACUGUCUCAACCAUAGACCCAGCGAAAUUGAAGUACGAGUAAAGAUGCUCGUUAGCUGCAGAAGGACGGAAGGACCCCGUGGACCUUUACUAUAACUUGAUGUUGUGUUUUGUCAUAUGUUGUAGGAUAGGUGGGAGACAAGGAAGCAUGGACGCUAGUCUGUGUGGAGUCAUCGUUGAAAUACCACCCUGCAUAUGGUGAGGCUCUAACCUAGACCCGUUAUCCGGGUUGGGGACAGCGUCAGGCGGGUAGUUUAACUGGGGCGGUUGCCUCCUAAAGAGUAACGGAGGCGCCCAAAGGUUCCCUCAGCCUGGUUGGCAAUCAGGCGUCGAGUGCAAUGGCAAAAGGGAGCUUGACUGCGAGACCUACAAGUCGAGCAGGAGCGAAAGCUGGGCAUAGUGAUCCGGCGGUUGCGUGUGGAAGCGCCGUCGCUCAACGGAUAAAAGGUACCCCGGGGAUAACAGGCUAAUCUUGCCCAAGCGUCCAUAGCGACGGCAAGGUUUGGCACCUCGAUGUCGGCUCAUCGCAUCCUGGGGCUGAAGCAGUCCCAAGGGUUGGGCUGUUCGCCCAUUAAAGCGGUACGCGAGCUGGGUUCAGAACGUCGUGAGACAGUUCGGUCCCUAUCCUCUGUAGCCGUAGGUGAAUUGAGGAAAGCUGUCCCUAGUACGAGAGGACCGGGACGGACGCAGCUCUCGUGUGCCAGUUGUCCUGCCAAGGGCAUGGCUGGUUAGCGACCUGCGGAAAGGAUAACCGCUGAAAGCAUCUAAGCGGGAAGCCUCUUCCAAGAUGAAUUCACCCACAGGGUUAACCUGGUAAGGCCCGUGGUAGACCACCACGUUGAUAGGCCGGAAGUGUAAGCGUGGCAACACGUUCAGCUGACCGGUACUAAUCGGCC
rnacentral:rRNA from 1 species